rnacentral:snoRNA from 1 species
CAUGUAAAUGAUGAAUACAUUACCGCCCCAGUCUGAUUUUGAUGACUGAUUGGUUUAAUAAUCUGAUGUAAA